GGCAGCGCUUGAGUCAUAGGAGAACUCCCCGGUAUCACACACACUCCGGACACGUCGCGUUCAACUCGAGCAGUGGUCUAAAAAAGGGCUGUCAGGAAGCAGGAGAUCCAGGCCAAUAGACGAGGUCGCCCUCACCCUCCCUACCAACCUGGACAGAGGGUCUGGCUCUCCACACGGGACCUCAAGCUGCGGCUACCAAGCAGGAAGCCCAGCCCAAGGUAUGUUGGCCCAUUUUAAAUUAUAAGACAGAUUAAUGAGGUUACAUACCAGUUGGAGCUGCCUGUUAAUUAUUGUGUCUAUCCAUCCUUCCAUGUUUCCCUCCUCAAACCGGUCCACCUGAAUGCUGACCCCAACAUGGAGAAUAAAUAGCCACCUCCACUGCUGGACUUUGAUGGAUCUCCUGCAUAUGCGGUUUGGGGGGUAAUGCCUCGCCAGAAGAGGGAGCCCUCGCCAGAGUAUUGACUGUGUUCCGCUCUCUCUGCUUCUCAGGUUACUUCCUGUUUGUGAGAUAUUUAGCAGGGCCUGGCUAGCAGGCCGUUGCAAAGUAUUGCCAGUCUACCUGCCUUACUGUGCAUUUUAAUACCAUUACCUUGACUAUCCAGUGUAUGACCAUUGCCUGCCUUAUUCUGUUCACGUUUUUGGAUUAUCCCUUGCUUAGUUGUUUGGAUUGGAUUUUCUUUCUGGUUAGGAACUUUGUCUAUCACACAUUUAUGCUAUCUGCCUGCUGUUUUGGACUUGUUUGCUGAGGAUUUUAUUAAACUACUGCACAUGGAUCCUAACUCAGCUUCUGCCUCGUUACAGUUUAUCAUGUGUUGUGAAUGUGAAUCUUCUUGCAUUUGUGUGUGUGUUUUUGAGACUUUCCUGGCAGUUGACCAAUCAUAACCCACUGUGGGAGUAUGACUCGCGUGCCUACCUGGAUGCUGACGUCAUCAGCAUGAGACCACUGUUCAAGUUAAGAUUCAGUAGAGAAGAUGAAGAAAAUCAUAUGGAUUUGGAACAAGGGUGCAUAAAUGAAUUUCCGUUUAAGGAUGGACUAUCCCUGCAAGACCAUUCUCAAUACAGCUAUUUAAUGAAAACAUGUGAAAUGGCUCCGUCUGGUGGGCAACAGUAGAUAAAGUUAUUACCAAAACCUGGAAAUAAACUAGGCAUCAAGUAAAGAACA
ensembl:lncRNA